GCCAGCAGCCAUAUCACGCUGCAACUGGCAACCCACUGAAGCUAAGCAGAUGUGAGCCUGGUCUGUACCUGGAUGAGAGACCUCCUGGAAAAAUCUGGUGCUUCUGCUG
rnacentral:rRNA from 1 species